rnacentral:lncRNA from 1 species
AUGAGCUCCAGGAGGCAUUUCCCAAGGUUCAUCCAGAGCUCCCAGGACGCCCAGGUGCUGUUUGAGGAGCAGCACAGGGAGCUGGAGGCACAGCUGGCCCAGUGGCAAUGGGAACAGGAGCCCUUCCUGGGGCUCCAGACUGAGAGGCCGGAGGAGCUGCCGGGACUGCUGGGGGGUGGGAAUUCUCCCCAGCACCUCCGAGUGCAGAGGCCAGACGUGGCCAGUGGAAGGGAGGAGGACAAUGACACGGCCAGUGGAAGGGAGGAGGACAAUGAGGCCACGGGACGACACAGCAGCAGCCCCCCAGAGCUGGAGAGCAGCAGCUCCGCGGCCAUGGCCUGGUUCCUCCCCAGGGAAGUGGUGAUCACCAACUCCCUGGAGGCCGACAGCAGCAGCAGCAGCAGCAGCAGCAGCCUCCUGGAGCUGGCCCGCAGCAUCCCCACGCCUGAACCCGUGUGGGCGCAAACCCUGCCCAGCCAAGGCCCCACCCCGGCAGCGGGUGCCCCCGGGCAGGGCCCGGGGCUGGGCACCACGGGCCUUCCUGGGCAAGCUCCGUGCCCGCCUGAGGGGAUUCCUGGGACCCUGGUGGAGCUGCCACGUCCCUGCCUGCCAGUGCCCCCACCACGUCCCUCCCUGCCAGUGCCACCGCCACGUCCCUCCCUGCCAGUGCCACCGCCACGUCCCUCCCUCCCGGAGCCGCCUCCUCUGAUGUCCCAGUGCUGGUGGCAGUGCCGGGCCCAGAAGAGCAAAAGGUUUCAAUCCUGAGCCACCACGGCCUGUCCAAGCCACAAACAACAUCCUGGGUUGGUCAGGCAGGCCCCGACCCUCACAACCCCCCGUGGCUGGGCCUCAUCCCCUGGCACCUCAGGCUUGUCCUCACUCUUUGGCUCUACGUUCCCCCAGCAACAAAUUAAAAAAAAACAGCCACAGUAUUAUUUCUAAAAAUCAUUUUGCUUUCCUUUUACCUCCUUAGCCACAUUAAGUUCUAGUUGGGCUUUGGCCCUUCUCAUCUUCUCCCUCCAUGACCUCCCAACAUCCUUGUUGGCCUCCUGACUUGCUGCCCCUUCUUCCAAAGGUCAUCACUCUCCAGACCUGCUGCCUCCCUCCUUCCUUCCCUGGGAAUCCAAAGCUCAUCUUUCCAUGG